GAUGAAGAACGUAGCGAAAUGCGAUAAGUAAUGUGAAUUGCAGAAUUCCGUGAAUCAUCGAAUCUUUGAACGCACAUUGCGCCCCCUGGCAUUCCGGGGGGCAUGCCUGUCCGAGCGUCAUUGCUGCCCUCAAGCACGGCUUGUGUGUUGGGCCUCCGUCCUCCUCCCGGGGGACGGGCCCGAAAGGCAGCGGCGGCACCGCGUCCGGUCCUCGAGCGUAUGGGGCUUCGUCACCCGCUCUUGUAGGCCCGGCCGGCGCUUGCCGACACAUCAAUCUUUUUUCCAGGUUGACCUCGGAUCAGGUAGGGAUACCCGCUGAACUUAAGCAUAUCAAUAAGCGGAGGA
rnacentral:misc_RNA from 1 species